UAGGCUCUCGCAUCGAUGAAGAACGUAGCGAAAUGCGAUACUUGGUGUGAAUUGCAGAAUCCCGCGAAUCAUCGAGUUUUUGAACGCAAGUUGCGCCCGAAGCCAUUCGGCCGAGGGCACGUCUGCCUGGGUGUCACGCAUCGUUGCCCC
rnacentral:rRNA from 1 species